rnacentral:rRNA from 1 species
GACGAACGCUGGCGGCGUGCUUAACACAUGCAAGUCGUACGGUAAGGCCCUUUCGGGGGUACACGAGUGGCGAACGGGUGAGUAACACGUGAGUAACCUGCCCACAACUUUGGGAUAACGCUAGGAAACUGGUGCUAAUACUGGAUAUGUGCUCCUGCUGCAUGGUGGGGGUUGGAAAGCUCCGGCGGUUGUGGAUGGACUCGCGGCCUAUCAGCUUGUUGGUGGGGUAGUGGCCUACCAAGGCGGCGACGGGUAGCCGGCCUGAGAGGGUGACCGGCCACAUUGGGACUGAGAUACGGCCCAGACUCCUACGGGAGGCAGCAGUGGGGAAUAUUGCACAAUGGGCGCAAGCCUGAUGCAGCAACGCCGCGUGCGGGAUGACGGCCUUCGGGUUGUAAACCGCUUUCAGCAGGUACGAAGCUUUUUGUGACGGUACCUGCAGAAGAAGCACCGGCUAACUACGU